UGAGUAACCUGCCCUUGACUCUGGGAUAACCUCCGGAAACGGAAGCUAAUACCGGAUAUGACGCACGGAGGCAUCUCCUGUGCGUGGAAAGAAUUUCGGUCAAGGAUGGACUCGCGGCCUAUCAGGUAGUUGGUGAGGUAACGGCCCACCAAGCCUACGACGGGUAGCCGGCCUGAGAGGGUGACCGGCCACACUGGGACUGAGACACGGCCCAGACUCCUACGGGAGGCAGCAGUGGGGAAUAUUGCACAAUGGGCGCAAGCCUGAUGCAGCAACGCCGCGUGAGGGACGACGGCCUUCGGGUUGUAAACCUCUUUUAGUAGGGAAGAAGCGAAAGUGACGGUACCUGCAGAAAAAGCACCGGCUAACUACGUGCCAGCAGCCGCGGUAAUACGUAGGGUGCGAGCGUUGUCCGGAAUUAUUGGGCGUAAAGAGCUCGUAGGCGGUCUGUCGCGUCUGCUGUGAAAUCCCGAGGCUCAACCUCGGGCCUGCAGUGGGUACGGGCAGACUAGAGUGCGGUAGGGGAGAAUGGAAUUCCUGGUGUAGCGGUGGAAUGCGCAGAUAUCAGGAGGAACACCGAUGGCGAA
rnacentral:rRNA from 1 species